rnacentral:sRNA from 1 species
UUAUUUCAGUUUGUCUAAUCAUUGGCUUUAUUCUUGAAGUGACACCUGGCGGUGGUGCAACUACAACAACCUACCCACCAUGGACAACUGAGUCGUCAACCUACCCACCAUGGAGAACUAGUGAGUCCACUAACAGCUGGACAGCAAGACCUGCAUAUGAUUCAACGAAAUCGGUAACAGAAG